CCACGCCCCACUUCCUUCGGGAGCAGCCGUAGGAAUUUUGGCCAAUGACAGAAGUUUGACCGAGCAUGCCGCUGAAUGAAGAAGUUGUCGGAUCGUAAAACUCUGUUGUUAGCAAGAACAGGAUGAGAGUAACUGUUCAUCCCUUGACGGUAUCUAACCAGAAAGCCACGGCUAACUACGUGCCAGCAGCCGCGGUAAUACGUAGGUGGCAAGCGUUGUCCGGAUUUAUUGGGCGUAAAGCGAGCGCAGGCGGUUUCUUAAGUCUGAUGUGAAAGCCCCCGGCUCAACCGGGGAGGGUCAUUGGAAACUGGGAGACUUGAGUGCAGAAGAGGAGAGUGGAAUUCCAUGUGUAGCGGUGAAAUGCGUAGAUAUAUGGAGGAACACCAGUGGCGAAGGCGGCUCUCUGGUCUGUAACUGACGCUGAGGCUCGAAAGCGUGGGGAGCAAUCAGGAUUAGAUACCCUGGUAGUCCACGCCGUAAACGAUGAGUGCUAAGUGUUGGAGGGUUUCCGCCCUUCAGUGCUGCAGCUAACGCAUUAAGCACUCCGCCUGGGGAGUACGACCGCAAGGUUGAAACUCAAAGGAAUUGACGGGGGCCCGCACAAGCGGUGGAGCAUGUGGUUUAAUUCGAAGCAACGCGAAGAACCUUACCAGGUCUUGACAUCCUUUGACCACUCUAGAGAUAGAGCUUCCCCUUCGGGGGCAAAGUGACAGGUGGUGCAUGGUUGUCGUCAGCUCGUGUCGUGAGAUGUUGGGUUAAGUCCCGCAACGAGCGCAACCCUUAUUGUUAGUUGCCAUCAUUCAGUUGGGCACUCUAGCAAGACUGCCGGUGACAAACCGGAGGAAGGUGGGGAUGACGUCAAAUCAUCAUGCCCCUUAUGACCUGGGCUACACACGUGCUACAAUGGGAAGUACAACGAGUUGCGAAGUCGCGAGGCUAAGCUAAUCUCUUAAAGCUUCUCUCAGUUCGGAUUGCAGGCUGCAACUCGCCUGCAUGAAGCCGGAAUCGCUAGUAAUCGCGGAUCAGCACGCCGCGGUGAAUACGUUCCCGGGCCUUGUACACACCGCCCGUCACACCACGAGAGUUUGUAACACCCGAAGUCGGUGAGGUAACCUUUUGGAGCCAGCCGCCUAAGG
rnacentral:rRNA from 1 species